CAGCUGGUGUGGCAGGUGAGAUACCAUAAUCACGAAGAUGGCUUUCCCAAGGUGAGGCUUAUCCAUUAUGUUCCAGAUGGGCUGACCCUGCAAUUUCCCCAAAUGUGGGAACUCGAUUGCAUAAUUUAUAGUAGUGGGGGACUGUGUUUGCGCUCUCCCUUA
ensembl:snRNA U1 U1 spliceosomal RNA